GUCUCUGUAGCUCAGUGGUAAGCAGCGAGCGAUUGCAGUUUGUCUACAUCUGACAGCAGCUAUCGCUAGGUCCCCUGUUCGAAUCAGGGUAGGGACU